rnacentral:rRNA from 1 species
GAUCAUGGCUCAGAACGAACGCUGGCGGCGCGUUUAAGCAUGCAAGUCGAGCGGCAAGGGCCUUCGGGCCCCUAGAGCGGCGGACGGGUGAGUAACACGUGGACAAUCUGCCCCCCGGCCCGGGAUAGCCCAGGGAAACCUGGAUUAAUACCGGAUGAGACGGGACCCGCGAAGGCGGGACCCGGGAAAGGCGCUGCGGCGCCGCCGGGGGAUGAGUCUGCGUCCCAUUAGCUAGACGGCGGGGUAACGGCCCACCGUGGCGACGAUGGGUAGCCGGCCUGAGAGGGUGGACGGCCACAUUGGAACUGAGACACGGUCCAGACUCCUACGGGAGGCAGCAGCUAAGAAUCUUCCGCAAUGGGCGAAAGCCUGACGGAGCCGACGCCGCGUGAACGAAGAAGGCCGUGAGGUUGUAAAGUUCUUUUCGGGAGGGGAACAACCGUGGCAGGGAAUGGCCGCGGGAUGACGUGAAUCCCGGAAUAAGCCCCGGCUAACUGCGUGCCAGCCGCCGC